GAUGAACGCUGGCGGCGUGCCUAAUACAUGCAAGUCGAGCGAACAGACGAGGAGCUUGCUCCUUUGACGUUAGCGGCGGACGGGUGAGUAACACGUGGAUAACCUACCUAUAAGACUGGGAUAACUUCGGGAAACCGGAGCUAAUACCGGAUAACAUGUUGAAUCGCAUGGUUCAACAGUGAAAGACGGUCUUGCUGUCACUUAUAGAUGGAUCCGCGCCGCAUUAGCUAGUUGGUAAGGUAACGGCUUACCAAGGCAACGAUGCGUAGCCGACCUGAGAGGGUGAUCGGCCACACUGGAACUGAGACACGGUCCAGACUCCUACGGGAGGCAGCAGUAGGGAAUCUUCCGCAAUGGGCGAAAGCCUGACGGAGCAACGCCGCGUGAGUGAAGAAGGUCUUCGGAUCGUAAAACUCUGUUAUUAGGGAAGAACAAAUGUGUAAGUAACUAUGCACGUCUUGACGGUACCUAAUCAGAAAGCCACGGCUAACUACGUG
rnacentral:rRNA from 1 species